UUCCCUGGUAGCGCUUGUGAUAAUAUUACCGUUGGGUAAUCUAAGUUUGGAUCAUGCAAAAUAACAAAUUAGUUUGUAAUAAAUAUAUAGCAACAUAUAAUAUGAAGAAAUCUUUAUAUAAAAUUAAUACUAAAAGUUGUUCGCUGGGUGCGUGACUCCAGCGCCAUCUAACGAUACAACUUACGGUGGCUCUUUUGAGAAAAUAAACAUGUAUUGGAUGUCAAAUAGUUAUUGAAAAAAUAAAAUGAACUUGUGAAAAAUUUUUUAUCAAUGUGAAAUAUGAUAUAUUACACAGAGUGAAUAUUAAUAAUUUUUCCGUGGGUCAGCUAAAAACAAUAAAAAAUGGAAUUGGUGUUAAGAAGGGGUUUUCAAUCUAUCACACAUAAUAUUAUUUUUCAACCACAGACUCUGAUAAAGGAUUAAUGAGACACGAUUUGUGACAGAUGUCAAGUGUGAUUGUGUUUACAGUCAGUUUCAGUUUUUUCGCUGAUUUAAUUUCCACUUGGCAACCGGAAACUUAUAAAAUUUACAAUUACUAUUCCUACUAGUAUUUUUGCAAUCGACUACACAGCAACUUUGAUGACCCAUUUUAUUUUAUUUAUUUAAUUAAACUGACACUCGUGUUAUUGUUAUGGUCAUAGAUAAUAAAGAGCCACCCGUAGUUUUGUAUUGUCCGCAGCGAGCGCUGACAUCACUUUUGUGUCCCCCACUAUGCUUUAUGCACCCAGCGAAUACUAUUUUUUAAAUUAUUUAUUGCAACUUCUAAUCAAAAGUGACGCUCAAGGUAACUGUAAAUACCGCCAUCUAUCGUCAAUUGUGUAUAAUAUAAUGACAAGUUGACGGAGCACCAAUUAUAGAUGGCGACUAUAAACAUAAAAAGACAACCGCUCAAUUCAAGAACAAAAUGUAGGCUGACUUCUAAAAGGGCUUCUCAUUUAUGCUCUAAUGAUGAAAUGCUGACUUGACUAUUACGGGGCCUCAUUUAGGCAUUAACCCUUACAUUUCUAGGGUAUAACAAUACGACGUUCCUUUCCAUUGCGACGUUCCUCGUGUGGUCUUAAUUUUUUUAAGGAGCUUUGCAACCUAUGUUUAUGUUUUUUUAAAUAAAUUUAUAAAAGUUUAUAAAAAAUCAGAGGCUUUAUAUUGCUUCAGAAUAUUGAAGAAGAAUUCUUAAAUUUAUAUCUUGAUAGUUUUUAAAAUUACUAUAAUAUUAUAUUUAAAAUUAUACUCAGUGAUGAUAAAAUGUAUAAAAGUCAUUCUUAAUGCAACUUAGUGAAAAAUUUAACCUUUAUGAAUUAUACUAGUAAGACUAUAUCUAACCAAGUGCCAUUUUAUUUAAAAAAAAUAAUUGUUAAGUUGUCAAUUUUGACGUUUACAUUUGGACACGUUACUUAAUACCAUAUAAUAUAUCUUUAAUACAAUAGGAACGAAAGGUUUAACUUUUUUUCUUGUGAACCAAGAAACA